UACAGAGGUCUCAAGCGUUGUUCGGAUUCAUUGGGCGUAAAGGGUGCGUAGGCGGUCCGAUAAGUCGGUUUGUGAAAACUGGGGGCUCAACCCUCAGAGGCCGACCGAUACUGUCGGCUAGAGUCCGGAAGAGGCGAGUGGAAUUCCUGGUGUAGCGGUGAAAUGCGCAGAUAUCAGGAGGAACACCAAUGGCGAAGGCAGCUGCGCUGGGACGGUACUGACGCGUGAGGUGACGAAAGGCAGUGGGGAGCAAACAGG
rnacentral:rRNA from 1 species